rnacentral:lncRNA from 1 species
GCUUAUGAGUAUUUAAAAAAAAAAAACUUGGCUCCUACCAAAAUCAUUCUCGGGGAUACCUUGGCCGAGGCAUCUUGCCGAGUCUUCCAAGGCUGUAAAAAUUUCGUAUACACGAAAACAUAUUUUUAGUUUGAAAAACACAAUCGUUCCUUGGCGUUAGCGGAGUUCAUUGUCACGAGUUGGUUUGGCGUGACGUGGACUCUAACCAUACCUCAAAAGAUACCCUACGCGCCUCUCCGACCAAGGUACAUAUUUAUAUUUGGAUUUCGUGCCCCUCUAAUAGGUUGGUCCACAGAAUCCGCCUACAAUAGCAAGCUAAACCCACCAUAUAAUAAAAUUUUAACAGCAUGACAAGGCUAAUAUAAUACUACCUAGCCUGCAAGGGUAAAAUAAAACAAUUCAUAAAACACAGCCCAACCAGCCAUGCCAACACAAUAACAAUAUAACAUAAGCCAUCAAUUUCCAAUCAUAAAUUUACAACAUACUAGUGGUCUCCAAUUACUCUAUUUUCAAAUCGUUAUUUCGUUUCAAGACAGUUUAUAAAGUCUUUUCAUUUAAACACAUUUUGUUUACAAAACAUAAAAAUUUACCAUUGGAACUCAUUUUCAUAAAAUUCACCAAAACCGAAUAAAAACAUACUUUAGAUAAUUAAAAUGAUGGUAAGGUUACACACAAUGUCUAGAGUGGGAAUUUUCGAAAUGCUUAGACUACUGGUCUUCGGGUACAAUUCCCUUUACACAGUACAAAAUCGAGAAAUUCACCACAUUGGUACUAAAUUGAAAUUAAACUAAUUUAGACUACUAAUGCAUGAUAUGGAAUGCAAAAUGUCUGAUUAAUCGCUUAAAUGUAAUAUUCGACCUAAGUCACACUAUACUCGGUCUAAUCGGCUAAAAUCUCCAAUUUAACUCCAAAUUAAUUCGUUUUACUUUCUACACUCAAAUUAUACCUAAAUUACCUCAGUGACUAUGAAUGAGAUUCAAUUUAUCAAUCCUGGGUCAAUAAUCACACAUGUCUAUACAUUGAGCAAAAAUUAAUAUUUUCACACCAAAAUUUCUCAUUUAAUUUCUAGCCUCACCAAACAUCAAAUAUCACCAAAAUAUCAUGAGAUAUCAUCAAUUUCAGCCUCAAUAUUCUCCCUAGAAAAUUUGGCCUCUUAUGGGUAAUGGGAGAAAAUGAAUUUUUUUCUUGUUGUUUUGUUUCUAAAUAUGCUAAACUAACUAAAAACACUAACAUAACUUAGAAUCAAAUCAAUCCAACUUCAUUCUCUCUCCAUACCCAUUUGGUCAGCCAUGAAUUCACCAUGAAAACAUGAAAUUUAAUCAUGAAAAUAAGGAGAAAUGCAUGGGAAAGGUAGAUCACAAGUCAAAAUCAAGAAAUUUUACCUUUGAUAUCUUGAUUCCUUGAAAUCCCACACUUUUUCUUCAAUUUUCCCACCUAGGUUUUGUGUUUU